UGGACACCAAAAUCUCAAAACACAAUUAAUACAUACAAAAUUAUAGAGUAAAAGAUAAAAAUAUGCCAUGAUUUUUCAAAAAUACGCAUGAAAGGUAAGAACACCAUCCCAUGUCAAGUCAGAUAAAUUCAGCAUCCUGAGUGAUGCUCUAUGCAGAAUAGAUUGACAAGAAAAUUUUCGUUAUUUCUUCAUGCCCCCUAAUGUGCAUGUUUGGUAUCACGGUGGGUUUGUUAAAUUCACAAUGGCCCAUCAUGAUUUUGCAAAAUCACCGUGAUUUCAGAAAACCCACCAUGAUACCAAACAUACACUCCAUAAAAGUGCUAGAGUCUCCAUUUUUACGAUUCUGUCCAUCCUUAACCUCCUAAAAGUCAAUAUUUUGAAACCAAAAAUCAACUCUUCAACCAAUAAAUUGCAAGAUUUUGAUUCUAAAUCUUAAAAUCCAUGGCACAAAAAAGGAACUAGAAAAUACAAACACAAGGGUCAAAAACAAAAAAGUAAAUGACAACCAGAUAAUCUUCAAAACCUAAUGAUGCAAACAAACAUGACUAAAGAAGUAACCAACUAAAACCAACCAUACAAAACACAAGAAAAAGAGAAAAAAAAAAGUUCACGGACAGGGUCAGUUUGGAUCAACUUAUUUGAGUUUAUUUACUAGCAUAAGUUUUGUGACAUUGUUUGGAAGAACUUAUGAAAACAACUUAAUGCAAUUUUCAUACGUGUUUUUCAGCUUAUUUUCAUAAUAAGUUCUCUUAUAUAGCUUAUGAAAACAAUUUAUAUUGAAUAUUUUGCUAUAAAAAUAGAUAUGCGAGCUUUUACAUAAACACUUAUAAGCUAAAUAAGUUGUUUAUCCAAGCAGACAAGACAUAGUGAGUAAAAUUACAAUCCACCGAAAAAAUAAAACUUUAUUGUCAAUACAUGUGUGUAAAACAUUAACAACCAUACAAAAUUAUGCAAUCAAUCAAGCAACAAAAAUAAAAAUAAUAGGCAAAAAGAAUGAAAACCCAGAUUAUUACAUAAUUGAGAAUAAUAAAAAAUGAAUUGAGGGGUAUGAAAUUAAAGAAUUACCAAUAAGAGACUUGAGCAGCUUGUUGUGACAUCCUCUGUUUGAUGAUCAGUGAUUGAAAUUGCAAUCAGCGUCAUGUUCGUCCAUUACUCUCUGAAUUUUUGUGUUGAAAAUGGAGAGAGAGAGAGAGAGA
rnacentral:lncRNA from 1 species